GAUGAAGAACGCAGCGAAAUGCGAUAACUAAUGUGAAUUGCAGAAUUCCGUGAAUCAUCGAGUCUUUGAACGCACAUUGCGCCCCCUGGUAUUCCGGGGGGCAUGCCUGUCCGAGCGUCAUUGCUGCCCAUCAAGCACGGCUUGUGUGUUGGGUCCUCGUCCCCCCCGGGGGACGUGCCCGAAAGGCAGCGGCGGCACCGCGUCCGGUCCUCGAGCGUAUGGGGCUAUGUCACCCGCUCUGCAGGCCCGGCCGGCGCUGGCCGACGCGAAAGCAACCAUUUUUUCUCCAGGUUGACCUCGGAUCAGGUAGGGAUACCCGCUGAACUUAAGCAUAUCAAUAAGCGGAGGA
rnacentral:misc_RNA from 1 species